UUAGGCCCAGGGCCUCUUUCGGCCCAAAUCGCAACUCCGGCACGGCGGCUCCGCCGUGCUCCGGCGACGGCGCCGCCGCUGGCGGCGGCGAGUCGCCUCGGGUUGGCCGUUUUCGGCCGAAUUCGGCCACACUCGCAUUGGUCCUUGUCAGAAAACAACCCUAGGGCCCUCGGGGGGCCAAAAAAUCACGGAAAAACGGAGCUUACCGGCGGCGGCGCUCUCGGGUGCAGCGGCUCUCCGGCGAGGUUCGUGUUUUGGUGAUUCGGCUCUGGUCAACCUGUAGAGAAAAGAAUGGUGAUCACGGUGAUAUAAAAAUUGCAUCGAACGGAGGCCGGGAAGGGCCUCGUCGGAGGCAAAAACCGAGAGGGGGCGCGGCGGCGCCGCUGGGCUUCGGCCGCGUAUUCCGG
rnacentral:lncRNA from 1 species